AUACCCUGAUUUCCCAUUGAAAAUGGGUUCAGGGUAUAAAAAGGUGUUACGACCAUGUGAGAGCAUUACUAAUAUAUUUAUCUCCACAGGAAGCAAUUCUACGAGACGAUUAUUAAUAUUUUCUUAUCUCCACUGGAAACGGUAAAUAGCAGCAGCUUGGAAACAAUGAAAAUCUGAUUUAAUGUAGAAAAUUAGAUCGAUAACAUAGUAGGCAUCGAAUUGAAUAGUAAGUAAGUUUUCCGACAUUGAAAUAAUUUAGUUCGGAACGUUGCAAGGGCUGAGCGCGGCAAUAACUGUGUUAGCCGAUCAAUUUUCGAGUCUUAAGGAAGAUUUGAAGCAAUUGAAUAGGAAAGUGGAUCGUUUGGAAAAGGAGGAUACUAAUCAGUCUCUCAUAGAGGAACAAACCUCACUGGCCCGUCCACGUUCGGAGCUUGAAUUAAAUGAAAUUUCGUCAUUGCCGGACUGUGUUAAAGUGUUGCCCACAUUUGAGGGAAACCCUUCACAAUAUGCCUCGUGGGUAAACAGGAUCGAGUCCGUACUUGAAGAUUAUUCUAUUAUCAAGGAAAGACCUCUAUAUCGCUCAAUAAUUUUACAUAUACGAGGAAAAGUAAUUGGAAUUGCCGAUGUUUCACUGUAAUCGUACGGUGUACAAAAAGAUGAUUGGCCUGAAAUUAAGCGAGUUUGGCGAUUGCAUUAUGCUGAUAAAAGGGAUGUUCGAACGAAUACGAAUUGAAUCAAAUCUCUUUUAACUUCCUUGACUUCCUAGCACCCAUAGCACAUUUAAUUAUAUUGCAAUAAUCUUCUUUUAGCUUCCUUAACUUCCUUAGCACCCAUAGCAUCCACAGCAUUUUACACGUGGUAUAUCCCUCCUAGUUUUGAUCAUUCAUGGUAAUAGGGAUUUCCGAGAUGCCAGACGAAAUGAAAUAAAUGCGCUUACAAUGUUGGAUGUAUUGUCAUAACCACAAAUGAAUACUAAAUGUAUGGAACUAUGAAUGCUUUGAAUUAACUUGAAGGUGGAUAUCGAUGGCCCUCUUUAUGCUAAUUUAUGGACUCUGGAUAAUAAAUUUAUAUUGGAUAAUUAUCAUUA